GAGCCUUGUGGCCGGUCCUGGGCAGUACAGGCGUAGAAAAGAUACGGCAGCCCGGUAAUAACACGGGCGAUGCUGAAGGAUUAGUCUGCAGCUACAUGUACUCGAAAACUGCACCAAUUUUCAUAAGGUGAACAAGGGAUAGUCACAUAACGGUACACAGCUCAUCAUUAAGGACAAAAAGGCUGCUCGUCUACUUUUAGUGUUGGAUAAAGACAGGUGUGUUUUUCGGGUUAAUAAUAUACAGAACAGACUUUUACAGCUGAAGUGAAUUAAGCAUUAGUCGAACGAGUGAAGUCGAAUAAACAAACAUAGGAAUAUAACAACUGCUUACCCUUUGUGGAUUGUUGAAGUUGCGUGUAGUGGAUAGUUCACAUUUCCUUUGUUUGGACUGUGUGAGCAAAUUCAUUCUUGCCAUGCAGGAAAAUCACUACCACAACCUCUGCUAACUGGUAUCCAGUGGAAAUAACAGACACUGGAAAGAAGAAACAGACAUUUUUGUAUCUUUUAUCUUUGAUAUAUUGAAGAGGCGCCUUUUAUAAAUACCAAGAAAUCUGGAAGUAAAGAUGCAGAGAGUUUGAAUCUUCCAGAUACAAGACUCACUGGAGACAAAG